rnacentral:lncRNA from 1 species
CAAAGCCUGAGUCUUGUGUUCUGUCUCUUGCAGCCAAGAAGCAAGACUAAGAGUUGGAGAUGCUUAUAUUCCAGGUUCCCGUCCAUCGCUGAGGGAGGCAGGGCAGGGGCUCAAGCAGGAACUGAAGCAGUGACCACAGAGGAACACUGCUCCCUUCCUCACACAGCCCAGGCCCAGCUGCCUGGGGGAUGGCACUGCCCCACAGUGGUCUGGGCCUUCCCAGAUUUUCACAGUCAAGAAAAUGGCAGAGGCCAAUCUGAUGGAGGCUGGUCUUCGACAGAGGUUUUCUCUUCCCAGUGGUGUCAAGCUGGCAACCAAGUUUUACUGGCUUUAGAAUCACCAUGGAAACCCACCUUUGGGUGUGUCUCUGAGGAUGUGUCUAAAAAGGUUUAAAGGCGUGAGGGAGACCCUCCCUGAAGGUGAUCAGGGUAACCCCAGGACUGAAGGAAAAAGAGAAAGCUAGCUGAGCGCCAGCAUGCAGCUUCCCGACUUUGAGUGCGAUGUGACCAGCCACCUCAUGUUCCUGCCACCGUGCCUUCCCUACCUUGACAGACUGCGCCCUGGAACUGUGAGCUCAAAUAAACCCUUCCUUCCUUAAGUUGCUUCCGGUGUUUUUUGUCACAGUCACCAGAGGGUCUGCAGAAGAGCCGAAGGAGGCCCUACACCCAGCCACCAGGUCUGCACUGCCUCAACGCCAGUGGCUGCCCAGCCUAGAUUCAUGAAGGCACUUGGAGGAUAUGCAAGAUUCCAAGGCACAAAAGUGAGCUGGGCUGAGGUGAAGGGUCUACCUGGGCACCGGAAAUAGCAUAUUGAGUAUUGUGCCCAGAGAGAGGGAACCAGUCAGAGGAGCACUGCACACCCACUGAGGGAAGAGGAAGUGUGGGACGAGGGAAGACCUUGCAUGGGUGGGUGUCGGGAUGAAUCACCCAGCUCUGCCAGUGGAAUCUUGUGACACAGAUGCUCCCAACCCUGAGCUCAGUUCAGUCUCCGGUGGAACGGGCACACAGCCCCAGUCUUCCUGGGCUGAGGAAGAAAGGCCACAUACAACUCACUAGGAAGUCCUGGUCCCCUGAGUAAGUAAAGGAGGAGGGAUGAAGACCAGCUUGGGGCUGGGAAGAAAGUAGAAGUGUCGGGCUCCAUCUUCGCAGUGACAGACACUCAAAAGCAGCCAGCACACCUGGAGUCAAUGAAAGCCUGAAAUCUAUGGUCUCAGCCGCAGCCUGGAACUUUCUUCCAUCCCUGGGGAUGUUCCUCAGUGCUAGCAGGCCUGAGAUCCUCAUAGGAAGAGAGGUUCUGUCCAUCCCUCAUCCCUCUCUCCUCCUCCCAGCUGAUGUCUUUGAUGGAAGCCACCUGUGCCUCUGUGGCACCCAGAGCCAUCUGUCCCACCUCUUCAGUCAGGGGUGAAGUGACAUUAAAGAGCAUGACCACUCCAGUUGUAUUCCUGAGUUGGGCAGGGUAGCACAAAUCAGCC